rnacentral:rRNA from 2 species
UGGGGAAUAUUGGGCAAUGGGGGGAACCCUGACCCAGCAACGCCGCGUGAAGGAAGAAGGUUUUCGGAUCGUAAACUUCUAUCCCCGGUGAAGAUAAUGACGGUAACCGGGAAGGAAGCCCCGGCUAACUACGUGCCAGCAGCCGCGGUAAUACGUAGGGGGCAAGCGUUGUCCGGAAUGAUUGGGCGUAAAGGGCGCGUAGGCGGCUCGGUAAGUCUGGAGUGAAAUUCCUGCUUUCAAGGUGGGAACUGCUUUGGAUACUGUCGGGCUUGAGUGCAGGAGAGGUAAGUGGAAUUCCCGGUGUAGCGGUGAAAUGCGUAGAGAUCGGGAGGAACACCAGUGGCGAAGGCGACUUACUGGACUGUAACUGACGCUGAGGCGCGAAAGUGUGGGGAGCAAACAGG